UCGCCUGUUUUUCAAAAACAUUUUUAUUAGUAAAAAUUAAUAAUAAAGUCUGCUCAAUGAAAAUUAAAUAGCCGCUUUUGUGCUAAGGUAGCAUAAUAAUUUGUCUUUUAAUUAAAGACUAGAACAAAAGACUUAACAUCUCAAUUAAUUUAAAUAACAUAAAUAUUAAAAUUAUCCUAAUUGUAAAAAGACAAUUAUUAAAAAGAAAGACGAUAAGACCCUAUCGAACUUUACUUCAGUUUAACUGGGGCAGUUAAUUAAUUAUUAUUUUAAAAUUAAUAAACACUUAAUUUGAUCUAAUACAAUUAACCAAAUAAUCAAGUUACCGUAGGGAUAACAGCACAAUAAAAUUUAUAAGAUCUUAUUUAAAAUAAAGAUUGUGACCUCGAUGUUGAUUUAAUCCCCUAAUCAUUUAACGCAAUAGUUAAUUAAGGAAGUCUGUUCGACUUUUAAAAAAUUACAUGAUCUGAGUUCAAACCGGA
rnacentral:rRNA from 1 species